GAUUCAGCGGCGGACGGGUGAGUAAUGCCUAGGAAUCUGCCUGGUAGUGGGGGACAACGUUUCGAAAGGAACGCUAAUACCGCAUACGUCCUACGGGAGAAAGCAGGGGACCUUCGGGCCUUGCGCUAUCAGAUGAGCCUAGGUCGGAUUAGCUAGUUGGUGGGGUAAAGGCCUACCAAGGCGACGAUCCGUAACUGGUCUGAGAGGAUGAUCAGUCACACUGGAACUGAGACACGGUCCAGACUCCUACGGGAGGCAGCAGUGGGGAAUAUUGGACAAUGGGCGAAAGCCUGAUCCAGCCAUGCCGCGUGUGUGAAGAAGGUCUUCGGAUUGUAAAAAGCAACUUUUAAAGUUUGGGGGAGGAAGGGGGCAGUUAAAAGUUAAAUUACCUUUUGCUGUUUUUGGACCGUUUACCCAACCACAGAAUAAGGCACCCCGGGCUAAAAUCUUCGUGCCCAAAGCAGCCCGGCGGUUAAUACGAAAGGGGUGCAAAGCGUUUAAUCGGGAAAUUACUGGGGCGUUAAAAAAAGCAGCGCGUAGGUGGUUUUGGUAAGAUGGGAAUGUGGAAAUUCCCCGGGGCUCAACCUGGGGAAACUGCAUCCAUAACUGCCUGACUAGAGUACGGUAGAGGGUGGUGGAAUUUCCUGUGUAGCGGUGAAAUGCGUAGAUAUAGGAAAGGAACCACCAGUGGCGAAGGCGACCACCUGGACUGAUACUGACACUGAGGUGCGAAAGCGUGGGGAGCAAACAGGAUUAGAUACCCUGGUAGUCCACGCCGUAAACGAUGUCGACUAGCCGUUGGAAUCCUUGAGAUUUUAGUGGCGCAGCUAACGCGAUAAGUCGACCGCCUGGGGAAGUACGGCCGCAAGGUUAAAACUCAAAUGAAUUGACGGGGGCCCGCACAAAGCGGUGGAGCAUGUGGGUUUAAUUCGAAAGCAACGCGAAAGAACCCUUACCUGGCCUUGACCAUGUCCCGGAAUCUUUGCAGAAGAUGCCGAGAGUGCCUUCCGGGAAUCGGAAACACAAGGUGCUUGCAUUGGGCUGUGUCGUCAGCUCCGUGUCCGUGAAGAUGUUUGGGGUUAAGGUCCCCGUAACCGAGCGCAACCCUUGUCCUUAGUUACCAGCACGUUAAGGUGGGCACUCUAAGGAGACUGCCGGUGACAAACCGGAGGAAGGUGGGGAUGACGUCAAGUCAUCAUGGCCCUUACGGCCAGGGCUACACACGUGCUACAAUGGUCGGUACAGAGGGUUGCCAAGCCGCGAGGUGGAGCUAAUCCCAUAAAACCGAUCGUAGUCCGGAUCGCAGUCUGCAACUCGACUGCGUGAAGUCGGAAUCGCUAGUAAUCGUGAAUCAGAAUGUCACGGUGAAUACGUUCCCGGGCCUUGUACACACCGCCCGUCACACCAUGGGAGUGGGUUGCUCCAGAAGUAGCUAGUCUAACCGCAAGGGGACGGUA
rnacentral:rRNA from 1 species